CCUACGGGUGGCAGCAGUGGGGGAUAUUGCACAAUGGGGGAAACCCUGAUGCAGCGACGCCGCGUGGGCGAAGAAGUAUUUCGGUAUGUAAAGCUCUAUCAGCAGGGAAGAAGAAAUGACGGUACCUGAGUAAGAAGCACCGGCUAAAUACGUGCCAGCAGCCGCGGUAAUACGUAUGGUGCAAGCGUUAUCCGGAUUUACUGGGUGUACAGGGAGCGUAGGCGGCACGGCAAGCCUGAUGUGAAAGCCCGCGGCCCAACCGCGGGACUGCAUUGGGAACUGCCGGGCUGGAGUGCCGGAGAGGUAGGCGGAAUGCGUGGUGUAGCGGUGAAAUGCGUAGAUAUUAGGAGGAACACCAGUGGCGAAGGCAGCCUACUGGACGGUGACUGACGCUGAGGCUCGAAAGCGUGGGGAGCGAACAGGAUUAGAUACCCGGGUAGUC
rnacentral:rRNA from 1 species